CAAUAAAAAACACACAACAAAAGUGCUAGCGAUCUUUCCAAAGGCACGGUCGUCGUUACCAUCUUGAAUCAGGUGUCCCGUAUGUAGCGUGACAUGUCGUCACCACACUUCCGGUUUCUCGUUACACACGCAAGGUUUGGUAACGGCGAAAGCAGAACAGUUAGAGUAUAGCCUAGCGUAGUCUCGCGUAGCCAGACCCCUUUCGGCCACGUUCUCCCCAACGAAAUGGGGUCUGGUGAACGGCCUUUGAUGUCGCUGUGUGGCACGUAGCAGGAAAUCGGCUAUCUAGAGACCGGAUUUUGUUUCUUAAAACGAUUCACUAAAGACCAGACUGAGAACAACUCGAAGACUACAGCUAGAGUCAUUGCUGUUUGUGAAAUCUGCUUGUCUCGGCAGCGAUUAAACGCGGCCGCGGGAACGUUGACGUCGACAGGCUUCGAUUUCAUGCAGACAUGAUCGAUGUCGUACGAUUUAACGUUGUGCGCGCUCGUGUCACAAGUUGUCAACGGAGACUGAAUGCGAACUUUUUUGACGUCUAAAGCGACUGCAGACAGUCCAGAGUGAGCGAUAUCUGGAAGGGCUUGGAGCUGCAUGACGUCAUCGAAACAAGAUGAGUCGUCUUUCUGUGUUUGGGUAAUCGUUUCAUGUGUUUUGUGCUUUGCUUUGGUGAACACAUACAGUAGCAACCAGGAAGAGACCACGUUGUGAUUGGAGUAAUAUGAACGGAAGCAGCAUGGUUGCAGACUUCACUUCUGACACUGCAUGUCAAUCUGUGGAACACGCAAGUCUCUACUACUUACAUUAUAUGAUGUCUGCCUGGCCCUGAGUAACCUUUACGUAACGAUCAACACUGCAUGCGUAUACUGCAUGAUCAUCAUGUAUUAAUUCAUAGAUAUACAUAUAUGGUAGUCCAUAUAUAUCUAGUCUAAAAAGAAACCUAAAACAUACGAUAGCAGUCACUGUGGUGGUAGCCCUGUGUGUCCCGCAUGUAGGUCACAAUCAAGAUCGCCACUGACGUUCAAUGGAGCCAUUGAAUAUAUACACAAUGCUGCAGAAGCUGAUUUCGUAUGUGAGACUAUUCUUGGGCGACAACCCGCACAGCUGGGAUUUGACAUUGAAUGGAAAGUAACGUUUACUCGUGGACAAGCGCCAUUGCAAUGUCCGACUGCUCUCGUGCAGUUGUGUCUCUCGUCGACAUGAUGCUGUCUGUUUCAAGUGAGACGAAUGAAAGCGUUUUCUUGCAAGCUCAAGGAAAUACUCGAAAGCCCAGAUAUAUUGAAACUGGGCGUUGGUAUUGGUGGCGACAGCUUGAAGCUUGUCAAGACUAUGACAUUCAUUGUCAAGGAGUGAUUGAUCUCUCUUGUGUGGCAACUAAAAUUUUACGGUCAUUUGAAACGUGGAGUCUGAAAGAUCUUGUUUGCAUCUGUUUCACUUGGAGCUUUCGAAGGAAAAUCGUGUUUGGUUGAGUAACUGGGAGGUGGCACUCUGUCCUGAUCAGCAAGUUUAUGCUGCCACGGAUGCGUAUGCUGGUUUAUUAAUUUAUCAAAAACUGCAAUCUAUUAAGAUAGAGAACGAAAUACAUUCAAACUGAUUCGUCUGGUUUGAUGUGAUUACGGAGAUUGUCUUUGAUUGCCAAAUGUAUUUUUUCAAAGAGUUUUAUUGCUUGAAUGCUUGAUAGCUUAUUGUAAUAGGCAAUUCUUCAUACUUUUUAAUGAUUUAUUUGUCUACUAUGAUGUAAACCAGAUAUGAAGUAGUCAGGUGUACAUGCAU